GACAGAGGGUGCAAACGCUGCUCGGAAUUACUGGGCGUAAAGCGCGUGUAGGCGGUCACGCAAGUCAGGGGUGAAAGCCCAGGGCUCAACCCUGGAAGUGCACAUGAUACUACGUGGCUGGAGUACUGAAGAGGAGAGCGGAAUUCCCGGUGUAGAGGUGAAAUUCGUAGAUAUCGGGAGGAACACCAGUGGCGAAGGCGGCUCUCUGGGCAGAUACUGACGCUGAGACGCGAAAGCGUGGGUAGCAAACAGG
rnacentral:rRNA from 1 species